rnacentral:rRNA from 1 species
GAAAGUAAGCAAGGGCGUAUGGAGGAUGCCUAGGCUCUUAGAGGCGAAGAAGGACGCGAUAAGCUGCGAAAAGCUGCGGGGAUUGGCACACACGAAUUGAUCCGCAGGUAUCCGAAUGGGACAACCCGGUGCAUUGAAGAUGCAUCAUCUCCCGAUUUAUCGGGGGAGGCAAACGUGGGGAACUGAAACAUCUAAGUACCCACAGGAGGAGAAAACAAUAGUGAUUCCGUAAGUAGUGGCGAGCGAACGCGGAGAAGCCCAAACCAGAGUAGUUACGGCUAUUUUGGGGUUGUAGGACUACAUAAGUGUUUAUAUAAUGGAAGUUGAAUGGUCUGGGAAGGCCAACCGCAGAGGGUGAGAGUCCCGUAAAUGCUAAGUUAUAUAGGCCGGUAGUAUCCUGAGUAGGGCGGGGCAGGUGAAACCCCGUUUGAACCAGCCGGCACCAUCCGGUAAGGCUAAAUACUCCUAAGAGACCGAUAGUGAACUAGUACCGUGAGGGAAAGGUGAAAAGUACCCUGAAUAAGGGGGUGAAAUAGUACCUGAAACCAUACGCUUACAAGCGGUCGGAGCCCAGCAGUGUUUACACUGCCUAUGGGGUGACGGCGUGCCUUUUGCAUAAUGAGCCUACGAGUUACUCUUCUCUGGCAAGGUUAAGUGGUUUAAGCCACGUAUCCGGAGCGAAAGCGAGUCUGAAUAGGGCGUAUAGUCAGUGGAGGUAGACGCGAAACUUGGUGAUCUACCCAUGACCAGGUUGAAGGUGCGGUAACACGCACUGGAGGACCGAACCAGUUGACGUUGAAAAGUCUUUGGAUGAGUUGUGGGUAGGGGUGAAAGGCCAAUCAAACCGAGAAAUAGCUCGUACUCCCCGAAAUGCUUUUAGGAGCAGCGUGUGGGUUAAUUCUUAUAGAGGUAGAGCUACCAAUAGGACUAGGGGGAGUCACAUCCUACCAAAUCCUGAUGAACUCCGAAUGCUAUAAGAUAUACCAUGCAGUGAGGGUUUGGGUGCUAAGGUCCAAAUCCGAAAGGGAAAGAACCCGGACCAACAGCUAAGGUCCCAAAAUCUAUACUAAGUUGAACUAAGGUAGUCCAGUUGCCGAGACAGCAAGGAUGUUGGCUUGGAAGCAGCCAUUCAUUUAAAGAGUGCGUAACAGCUCACUUGUCGAGCGACAGGGCAUCGAUGAUAAUCGGGCAUCAAGUAUAGUACCGAAGCUUUGGAUUUGCAGUUUACUGCAAGUGGUAGGGGAGCAUUCUAAGUGCGGUGAAGUCACCUGGUAAUGGGUGGUGGAGCGCUUAGAAAAGCAAAUGUAGGCAUAAGUAACGAUAAUGCGGGCGAGAAACCCGCACACCGAUAGACUAAGGUUUCCACGGCAAUGCUAAUCAGCCGUGGGUUAGUCGGGUCCUAAGGCGCACCCGAAGGGGGAAGUCGAUGGAUAAUGGGUUAAUAUUCCCAUACUACUUAUAAGAGUGAUGGAGUGACGGAGUAGUGAAAGUCCCGCGUACUGACGGAAUAGUACGUUGAAGGGUGUAGGUAUUAGAACUGUAGGAAAAUCCGCAGAUUUAGCUGAACCUGAUAGUACCACAAUGCUACGGCAGCGUGGAUAGUGGACCUAAACAGACUUCCAAGAAAACCUUCUAAACUUAUCUUAUAAGUACCCGUACCGCAAACCGACACAGGUAGUCAAGGAGAGAAUCCUGAGGUGCUCGAGUGAUUCAUGGCUAAGGAACUAGGCAAAAUAGCCCUGUAACUUCGGGAGAAGGGGCGCUUCCUCAUGCUUGCAUGAGAAGCCGCAGUGAAAAGGCCCAGGCGACUGUUUAGCAAAAACACAUGGCUUUGCGAAAUCGAAAGAUGAAGUAUAAGGCCUGACACCUGCCCGGUGCCGGAAGGUUAAGGGGGGAUGUUAUCGACGCUUCGGCGUUGAGAAGCAUUGAACUGAAGCCCCGGUAAACGGCGGCCGUAACUAUAACGGUCCUAAGGUAGCGAAAUUCCUUGUCGGGUAAGUUCCGACCUGCACGAAUGGUGCAACGAUCUGGGCACUGUCUCGGCCAUGAGCUCGGUGAAAUUGUAGUCGCGGUGAAGAUGCCGCGUACCCGCAACGGGACGGAAAGACCCCAUGAACCUUUACUACAGUUUCACAUUGGUAUUGGGUAAAUAAUGUGUAGGAUAGCUGGGAGACUUUGAAGCUUUACCGCCAGGUAGGGUGGAGUCAUUGGUGAAAUACCAGCCUUUAUUUAUCUGAUGCCUAAUCCCGCUAGCGGGAGACAGUGUGUGAUGGGUAGUUUGACUGGGGUGGUCGCCUCCAAAAGAGUAACGGAGGCUUUCAAAGGUACCCUCAGCAUGUUUGGUAAUCAUGCAUAGAGUGCAAUAGCAGAAGGGUGCUUGACUGUGAGGCCAACAAGCCGAGCAGGGUCGAAAGACGGAUAUAGUGAUCCGGUGGUUCCGUAUGGAAGGGCCAUCGCUCAAAGGAUAAAAGGUACUCUGGGGAUAACAGGCUGAUCUCCCCCAAGAGCUCAUAUCGACGGGGAGGUUUGGCACCUCGAUGUCGGCUCGUCACAUCCUGGGGCUGGAGAAGGUCCCAAGGGUUGGGCUGUUCGCCCAUUAAAGUGGCACGCGAGCUGGGUUCAGAACGUCGUGAGACAGUUCGGUCCCUAUCUGUUGUGGGCGUAAGAAAUUUGAAAGGAUCUGACCUUAGUACGAGAGGACCGGGUUGGACUAACCUCUGGUGUAUCGGUUGUGGCGCCAGCUGCACUGCCGAGUAGCUAUGUUGGGAAGGGAUAAGCGCUGAAAGCAUCUAAGUGCGAAACCCACCUUAAGAUGAGAUUUCUUUAUAAGGGUCGUUAGAGACGAUAACGUAGAUAGGCUGCAGGUGUAAAGGUAGAAAUAUCAAAGCCGAGCAGUACUAAUUACCCGUAAGCUUUAUCUG